CCUACGGGUGGCAGCAGUGAGGAAUAUUGGUCAAUGGGCGCGAGCCUGAACCAGCCAAGUAGCGUGAAGGAUGACUGCCCUACGGGUUGUAAACUUCUUUUAUAAAGGAAUAAAGUGAGGCACGUGUGCCUUUUUGUAUGUACUUUAUGAAUAAGGAUCGGCUAACUCCGUGCCAGCAGCCGCGGUAAUACGGAGGAUCCGAGCGUUAUCCGGAUUUAUUGGGUUUAAAGGGAGCGUAGAUGGGUUGUUAAGUCAGUUGUGAAAGUUUGCGGCUCAACCGUAAAAUUGCAAUUGAUACUGGCAGCCUUGAGUGGGCGAGAGGUAUGCGGAAUGCGUGGUGUAGCGGUGAAAUGCAUAGAUAUCACGCAGAACCCCGAUUGCGAAGGCAGCAUACCGGCGCCCUACUGACGCUGAGGCACGAAAGUGCGGGUAUCGAACAGGAUUAGAUACCCGAGUAGUC
rnacentral:rRNA from 1 species